rnacentral:tRNA from 1 species
GCUUUCGUAGCCCAACCGGUAGAGGCAACAGUCUAAGGAACUGCCCAGUCCGGGUUCGAAUCCCGGCGAAAGCACCA